ACGCUCGACACCUACGGGAGGCGGCAGUGGGGAAUAUUGGGCAAUGGGCGAAAGCCUGACCCAGCAACGCCGCGUGAGGGAAGAAGGUUUUCGGAUUGUAGACCUCUGUCCUCAGGGACGAAGGACGUGACGGUACCUGAGGAGGAAGCCCCGGCUAACUACGUGCCUGCAGCCGCGGUAAUCUGAGCGGGCUGGCAAGGC
rnacentral:rRNA from 1 species